rnacentral:rRNA from 1 species
ACUCCUACGGGAGGCAGCAGUUAGGAAUAUUCGGCAAUGGGGGAAACCCUGACCGAGCAAUGCCGCGUGAGUGAUGAAGGCCUUUGGGUCGUAAAACUCUGUUGUGAAGAAAGAAACGUUAUCAUAGGUAAUGAUGAUAGCUUGACGGUACUUCACCAGAAAGCCCCGGCUAACUACGUGCCAGCAGCCGCGGUAAUACGUAGGGGGCAAGCGUUAUCCGGAUUUAUUGGGCGUAAAGCGUGCGUAGGCGGUUUAUUAAGUUUAAGAUUAAAGCCCGAGGCUCAACCUCGGUUCGUCUUAAAAACUGGUAAACUUGAGUAUGGUAGAGGCAAGUGGAAUUUCUAGUGUAGCGGUUAAAUGCGUAGAUAUUAGAAGGAACACCAGUGGCGAAGGCGACUUGCUGGGCCAUCACUGACGCUGAGGCACGAAAGCGUGGGGAGCAAAUAGGAUUAGAAACCCCAGUAGUCC